AGAUUGAACGCUGGCGGCAUGCCUUACACAUGCAAGUCGAACGGCAGCACGGGAGCAAUCCUGGUGGCGAGUGGCGAACGGGUGAGUAAUAUAUCGGAACGUGCCCAGUCGUGGGGGAUAACGUAGCGAAAGUUACGCUAAUACCGCAUACGAUCUAUGGAUGAAAGCGGGGGAUCGCAAGACCUCGCGCGAUUGGAGCGGCCGAUAUCAGAUUAGGUAGUUGGUGAGGUAAAGGCUCACCAAGCCUUCGAUCUGUAGCUGGUCUGAGAGGACGACCAGCCACACUGGGACUGAGACACGGCCAGACUCGUACGGGAGCAGCAGUGGGAAUUUGGACAA
rnacentral:rRNA from 1 species